rnacentral:lncRNA from 1 species
AUCUCAAUCCCUCCCUUCCUCCCUGCCUCCCCUCCUCCCCACUUAUCUUCCUCCCUUCCCAUUCUUUGGAUCAUUAUAGAGCCUGGUUGCCUUGGCAACGUAACAAACUUUCCGUGUGAAUCUGAACCUCUGAGCUUGCUAAUAAGAAAUGGUGUUUCUUUUCUGGCCUGGCUGUGAGCAAAGUGGACGGGCACCAGACAUUGAUCAAAUGGGAAGGAAGUCACUCACAUAGGAGUGACCCCUGGAAUGCGAAAGAAGAGGUGACAGCAGGGUACUCAAUGAGAGGAGUUGCCUGCAAGUCUUAGAAUGAGAAUGAACCUGGCAGAAGUGAUGGGUCUCUUCAUCAGAAGAGCAGGUCUGAGAUGUCUUCCUCUGCUGAACGGAAGUUCCUCCCACUAAAGAGCCAAUGCCCGAAGGCCCUGUCAGCCUGGUCCUCUCUGAAGACAUUGCCUCACAGAAGAUGUGAUAGCUCAAAGCGAAGCCAUUUGGAGUCUGUUCAACACUUGUGAAUCUCAGCAGCUCCAUCCUGGAGAGAGCCCAUAGAUCAGGGGGUGAAACAGCAAUGACUUUGGAAGAAUCCGUGUUGCUGAAGCCCAGAAACAGACAGUCCCUUGUGGGACUACACUAAAGAGAAAAUACUGGACAUGGGUCACAGGGAUUCAGGUACUGGAAAUUCUGUACUAUGUUGUGCCAUGCAAACUUGAGAGGUAGCUAGCUUCCGGUGACCCCGGAAAUAGAGGAACCCCUGACUAGCUCUGGUUGGGAGGCUAGGCAUAUGCAAGACACCCAACUCCCAGCUUUCCGGUGGAGUCUGCGUUGGUGUGUGCGCCCCAUUUACCUGCCUACCACAGCUGCACCCGUCAUUCCCAUCUCUUGGCACUGUACCAUUGCCUUCAGAAUCAUACUGAAUUUUCAGGAAAUGGAAUUCUAAAGAGCCUAUG